rnacentral:rRNA from 1 species
CGUAUAUUAACGUUGUUGCAGUUAAAAAGCUCGUAGUUGGAUUUGUGGUGUCGCGUGCGGCUCGGGAUUCAUUUUCCGGUGUUGCGUUGCGGUGCCAUCCUUGGGUGGAUCCUGUGUGGCAUUAAGUUGUCGCGCAGGGGAUGCCCAUCGUUUACUGUGAAAAAAUUAGAGUGUUCAAAGCAGGCUUAUGCCGUUGAAUAUAUUAGCAUGGAAUAAUGAGAUAGGACCUUGGUACUAUUUUGUUGGUUUGCGCACCGAGGUAAUGAUUAAUAGGGACAGUUGGGGG